rnacentral:rRNA from 1 species
AUAUAGAUUAAGUUAUUAAGGGCGCACGGUGGAUGCCUUGGCACUAGAAGCCGAUGAAGGACGUUACUAACGACGAUAUGCUUUGGGGAGCUGUAAGUAAGCUUUGAUCCAGAGAUUUCCGAAUGGGGAAACCCAGCACGAGUUAUGUCGUGUUAUCUGCAUGUGAAUACAUAGCAUGCAAGAAGGCAGACCCGGAGAACUGAAACAUCUUAGUACCCGGAGGAAGAGAAAGAAAAAUCGAUUCCCUGAGUAGCGGCGAGCGAAACGGGAAGAGCCCAAACCAAUAAGCUUGCUUAUUGGGGUUGUAGGACACUCUGUACGGAGUUACAAAAGAAUUUGUUAGACGAAUAACCUGGAAAGGUUAAUCAGAGAAGGUAAUAAUCCUGUAGUCGAAAACGAAUUCUCUCUUGAGUGGAUCCUGAGUACGACGGAGCACGUGAAAUUC